GCUGGGCACGAUGGCACAUGCCUGUAAUCCUAGCAGCUCAGGAGGCUAGGGCAGGAGAAUUUCAAGUUCAAAGCCCGCCUCAGAAACACAGUGAGACCCUGUCUCUA
rnacentral:sRNA from 1 species